UAAGUAGUUCUUUUUUUUUGACAUAAUGCCAUUGUGCACUUAAUAGACUAUAGAAUAGUGUAAACAUAACUUUCAUAUGCA